rnacentral:tRNA from 1 species
GCAGGUGUAGUUUAAUGGCAGAACACUAGCUUCCCAAGCUGGAUGUACGGGUUCGAUUCCCGCCAUCUGCUCCA